GAUGAACGCUGGCGGCGUGCCUAAUACAUGCAAGUCGAGCGAACAGACGAGGAGCUUGCUCCUCUGACGUUAGCGGCGGACGGGUGAGUAACACGUGGAUAACCUACCUACAAGACUGGGAUAACUUCGGGAAACCGGAGCUAAUACCGGAUAAUAUAUUGAACCGCAUGGUUCAAUAGUGAAAGACGGUUUUGCUGUCACUUAUAGAUGGAUCCGCGCCGCAUUAGCUAGUUGGUAAGGUAACGGCUUACCAAGGCAACGAUGCGUAGCCGACCUGAGAGGGUGAUCGGCCACACUGGAACUGAGACACGGUCCAGACUCCUACGGGAGGCAGCAGUAGGGAAUCUUCCGCAAUGGGCGAAAGCUUGACGGAGCAACGCCGCGUGAGUGAUGAAGGUCUGCGGAUCGUAAAACUCUGUUAUUAGGGAAGAACAAAUGUGUAAGUAACUAUGCACGUCUUGACGGUACCUAAGCAGAAAGCCACGGCUAACUACGU
rnacentral:rRNA from 1 species